rnacentral:tRNA from 1 species
CGGAUGUACCCAAGUGNAUCAAGG